CUUGCGGCCCUAUCACGUUCAAAACACCGGUUCUCGUACGAUCACCAAAGUUAAGUAACGUCGUGCCUGGUAUAUACCUAGAUGGGUGACAGUUUGGGAAUACCAGCU